rnacentral:snRNA from 2 species
GUGCUCACUCAGGCAGCACAUAUACUAAAACUGAAACAGUACAGAGGAGAUUAGCAUGGCCCCUAAGCAAGGAUGCUAUGCGAAUGCAUAAAGCGUUCCAUAUUUUU